UUACGGACCUGACCCAGCCAGUGUUGUUCCUACGACUUUGUUCUCGGGAUUUAUACGGUACCGCAGCAUCAUUGAGCCGUACAUACCCGAUCGAGUUGUCAGACAGCUUGGGUUCAUACAGAGUAUACCUAGGUACCUUAUUAGGCCUGAGAAGGUCAAGAUGUAUAGUGUUGAGUUCCCGGCUGAGACGUCCGUACACAUGUGGGAGAGCUUUAUUCCAUUUGCUGCGUAUUGUCUACCAGUGGCUUGCUACACUAGACUCAGUCGCGGCAGUCCUGCAUACACGGACGAUUACAUUCCAUGGUUGGUGAGAUACUCUCACCCUCGUGUAUCACCCCCCUGACGUACCUCAGGUCAGCGGUCUCCUCGAGAGGACCAACACUGAUUAUUGGGUUGGUCGCUUCGUUGAGUUCACACAACGUGCACUUGCUGAGUCACAUGGGCCCAUGUCCCGUGAAACUAAGGCCAUGGCUGCACAGGCCCUUCGUGAUUGGGAUGCUAUGCGAGGGUUAUGAUUUGUGUUUAGCUAGACACCUUUAUUCUUAGUUGAACACUUUAAUUAUUGGUUUGACACUUUUAUUAUUUUGUUUUGGUUAUUGUAAUGGGACACUUUUAUUAUUCGUAUUAAAAUAUUGCAAGUGUUACUUGUGUUUUUUU